AUACGGAGGGUCCGGGCGUUAUCCGGAAUCAUUGGGUUUAAAGGGUCCGUAGGCGGGAAUCUAAGUCAGUGGUGAAAUCUUGCAGCUCAACUGUAAAAUUGCCAUUGAUACUGGAUUUCUUGAAUUAGUGUGAAGUGGUUAGAAUGUGUAGUGUAGCGGUGAAAUGCAUAGAUAUUACACAGAAUACCAAUUGCGAAGGCAGAUCACUAACACUAUAUUGACGCUAAGGGACGAAAGCGUGGGGAGCGAACAGGAUUAGAAACCCUAGUAGUCC
rnacentral:rRNA from 1 species